rnacentral:rRNA from 1 species
AACACAUGCAAGUCGAACGCCCCGCAAGGGGAGUGGCAGACGGGUGAGUAACGCGUGGGAAUCUACCGUGCCCUGCGGAAUAGCUCCGGGAAACUGGAAUUAAUACCGCAUACGCCCUACGGGGGAAAGAUUUAUCGGGGUAUGAUGAGCCCGCGUUUGGAUUAACUAGUUGGUGGGGUAAAGGCCUACCAAGGCGACGAUCCAUAGCUGGUCUGAGAGGAUGAUCAGCCACAUUGGGACUGAGACACGGCCCAAACUCCUACGGGAGGCAGCAGUGGGGAAUAUUGGACAAUGGGCGCAAGCCUGAUCCAGCCAUGCCGCGUGAGUGAUGAAGGCCUUAGGGUUGUAAAGCUCUUUCACCGGAGAAGAUAAUGACGGUAUCCGGAGAAGAAGCCCCGGCUAACUUCGUGCCAGCAGCCGCGGUAAUACGAAGGGGGCUAGCGUUGUUCGGAAUUACUGGGCGUAAA